rnacentral:rRNA from 1 species
CUGAAACCGUGUGCUUACAAGUAGUCAGAGCCCGUUAAUGGGUGAUGGCGUGCCUUUUGUAGAAUGAACCGGCGAGUUACGAUUUGAUGCAAGGUUAAGCAGUAAAUGUGGAGCCGUAGCGAAAGCGAGUCUGAAUAGGGCGUUUAGUAUUUGGUCGUAGACCCGAAACCAGGUGAUCUACCCUUGGUCAGGUUGAAGUUCAGGUAACACUGAAUGGAGGACCGAACCGACUUACGUUGAAAAGUGAGCGGAUGAACUGAGGGUAGCGGAGAAAUUCCAAUCGAACCUGGAGAUAGCUGGUUCUCUCCGAAAUAGCUUUAGGGCUAGCCUCAAGUGAUGAUUAUUGGAGGUAGAGCACUGUUUGGACGAGGGGCCCCUCUCGGGUUACCGAAUUCAGACAAACUCCGAAUGCCAAUUAAUUUAACUUGGGAGUCAGAACAUGGGUGAUAAGGUCCGUGUUCGAAAGGGAAACAGCCCAGACCACCAGCUAAGGUCCCAAAAUAUAUGUUAAGUGGAAAAGGAUGUGGCGUUGCCCAGACAACUAGGAUGUUGGCUUAGAAGCAGCCAUCAUUUAAAGAGUGCGUAAUAGCUCACUAGUCGAGUGACACUGCGCCGAAAAUGUACCGGGGCUAAACAUAUUACCGAAGCUGUGGAUUGUCCUUUGGACAAUGGUAGGAGAGCGUUCUAAGGGCGUUGAAGCAUGAUCGUAAGGACAUGUGGAGCGCUUAGAAGUGAGAAUGCCGGUGUGAGUAGCGAAAGACGGGUGAGAAUCCCGUCCACCGAUUGACUAAGGUUUCCAGAGGAAGGCUCGUCCGCUCUGGGUUAGUCGGGUCCUAAGCUGAGGCCGACAGGCGUAGGCGAUGGAUAACAGGUUGAUAUUCCUGUACCACCUAUAAUCGUUUUAAUCGAUGGGGGGACGCAGUAGGAUAGGCGAAGCGUGCGAUUGGAUUGCACGUCUAAGCAGUAAGGCUGAGUAUUAGGCAAAUCCGGUACUCGUUAAGGCU